rnacentral:rRNA from 1 species
UACGGUAGGGGGCAAGCGUUGUCCGGAUUUAUUGGGCGUAAAGAGCGUGUAGGCGGCUUUACAGGUCCGUUGUGAAAACUCGAGGCUCAACCUCGAGACGCCGGUGGAAACCGUAAGGCUGGAGUCCGGAAGAGGAGAGUGGAAUUCCUGGUGUAGCGGUGAAAUGCGCAGAUAUCAGGAGGAACACCGGUGGCGAAGGCGGCAUCCUGGACCAAUUCUGACGCUGAGGAGCGAAAGCCAGGGGAGCAAACGGG